CAGAGUUCAUGCCCUAACGGGUAGAUCUCCCACCCUUGAAUACUAUACUUAGUUGCUUUGGCAGGCUGCUUCGGCAACUGGCUUCUGCUAGUCACGCCUGCCAAAGGAUAUUUAAACUCUGAAUUAUUGUGUCGUCUGAGUACUAUAUAAUAGUUA
rnacentral:misc_RNA from 1 species